GUUUAUGGCCAUGGUACCCUGAACAAGGCCAAUCCUGUUUGAUCUUGGAAGCUCAGCAGGGUCCAGCCUAGUUAGUACUUGGAUGGGAGACCACCUAGGAAAAUCAGGUGCUGAAGACG
ensembl:rRNA 5S_rRNA 5S ribosomal RNA